GCAGCAUCAAAGAUUUGUGAAAGGGUACAGAAAAUGGUAUUCAAAGGAAAUUGGAAAGAAAAAAACUGAAGCUCUGGAGGCGAGUCAUUGAAAAUCUAAAUCGUUUUGUAAGUAGUCAUGGCAUAAUGAUUCAGACACAAUUCAAUAUUUCACAAGGAGGAUUUGCGACCUCGCCUUCUGAUUGGUAGGCAAACAUUCAAAACAAGACAAAUUUAAUUACGUUGUCACCUUAAUAUAUCAUUGACUAUCGCAGUAGCAUGAAAUAAUAUUAUAAAAUUAUGUGACAUCUCCAGUUGUUCAUUAUAAAAAACAUUGAGUGCUAACGCAAAAUUUGGCUUAAAAAAAUAACAUACUCAAACCCACCACAGACUAUCGCUGGUUUGCCAGUAGGCCAUAAAUUAUGUCAUAUUUCUCAAAAUAAAAAUCACAAAUUGGGUCCUGGGAUAUAAUGACAUCCCAAAAAAGAUUGUCCUAUUUUGAAAAUAUAGGACAUGAUUGACAUAACUUGGUGAGAAAUUGUUCAAAAUGACAAUUUUAAGUCUAGAGAACAUAUUUGACACAAUUUGCUGCAGAGGAUGGCAUAACUCACUCACUCCGAUCUGGCAAGCCUGAGCCAUCGCCAAUGCAGCUGUAGUUUGAAGUAGCCGCCUAAACAACUCGUUGGGCACACAGGUCUGUGGUUUGGCACAGUGAAAUGGAAGCUUUCGGAAAGAAUACAUGGUUCACCACUCGCUAAGUACUGGAGCCAAAUUCGAUCAAUGGCCGACCACACCGCCGCGCCUACCCAAAUGGAUUCCGACCUGGAACAACUGGCCAAGAACCAGGGUUGGGCAAAUCCCGCCAAUCUGACGAAAAUCCCAUCCCAUGGGAUUAACGGGCGGGAUUUCCGUGUUUUCUAAGAUUUCUGGGACACUUUAUUUUUUCAUGACUCUUUGCUUUCAAGCCUUAUUCCUAAGCCCGAAAAGUAAAGAAAGUAAAAUAUUUGGCUGUAUCAGUAUUUCGCUGUGCUCACAAUGACACCACCUCCUCUAGGAUUUGAGAGGGAGAGCCCUUGGGCAAGUUAUGCAAAGAUAUCGGGAGAGCCUAACCUUGAAUUCCAACGCAAGUUUUGCGCUAAAGUUGUGUCCAUGGGAAAAUGAAAGAGGGCAGACAGAGCAUCAGACCAUUUGGAUAAUUGUAAAGCUAAGAACAAAAGUGAAGGACAUGGCGAUCAAAAUCAAGACCAAAACUGCGACCAGAUUCCUGCUUGUUCUUCCUCAGAAGAUCAAUCAGCUAAAUGGAGACAUCUAUCAAGCUCUAGUCCAGUCAAUAGCUUUUUCAUCAGGAGGAAUGGCCAUGACCAUGAAAGAUUCAAAAGGCAUGGGCAGCAUUUUUUUUGAGAAUAGAAUCUCAUUCAGAUUGGCAGAAAGCCCAUCAUUCAAAAAGGCCAAAGAAGCUACAAGGCCAGGUUUAACGGCUCACAAACCUCUUUUAACCCAUAAGGGCCUCAGCGGACCCCUUUUAGACAAAAUUGAGAAGGAGUGUGAGGCAGAGUCUCGUGCUCUCAACGGGAAAUUGGCCAUUGUGUGCCAAGAUGUUUGAUCAGACACCCAUGGAGCUCCAAUUCUGGCUGCAAACCUUAUUUGCAAGGCGGUCCGGGAGUAUCCCGUAACCAACCCUGCCAAGAACCAACGCCGUUUCAACGCCGCCCCAACAAGCAAGUGACGACCUCCGAACUACAAAAACUGACGCCAGAAACCGCGGGGUUGUCGAAAACCCAAGUCAAGGACAUCAUGGGGUUCUACAUUAAAAAGUACGAUGACGUUUGUCUUGCUUCAAGCGUGAGUGGCCAUUGAGGCAACAAAGAAUCCCCCAAUCUGACCUGGAAGGGAAUGGCGGUCCUGUGCGACGCGUUGCACAAUUUGGUGAAAAUUAUCAUUGUCUAUGGGAUUCUGUUUGAAGAUGUCGCUGAAGUGUGCGCUCUGAAAUGCUCGGCCAGGCUUUCUGUGUUGGGGAGUGCGAUGGCAAAUGCGACGGUGGGAUUUUUGGAGAAGACUUUCUUUCGUCCUUAUUAUCAGAUUUGAAAUCGACUGAGCUAUGCGGCGGUCGAUGAGGGGUUGAGAAUGUGCCCUAACGCCCCGCUCGUCAUCAAAGUGCGGACCUGUUGCGCCCACGCCGGCGAGGCAAGGCAACGCUGGGAGACGUCGUUGUCAUGGGCUCUGGCAUGGAUUCCAUGGCUCUGGGCACAGAUCUGUGCUGUGGAGCAAACGAUCGGUGCCUGGUCGAUGCCGAUGAGAAGAUAAAGACGAGUGGAUUACAUAUUCCCUCUUUCUAAAUCCUCAUUUAGACGAGUUGCUGAUUAUGCAAGCUACCUCUUUCCCAGACUUUCCUGGAGCUUUUCUUUGUCUUCCCUGCUUCUUGAAGUCUAUUCAACUCAAUAGGGAGGACCUCACGGAAGGCUAAGUGGGGGAAAUUGAGAUGGUGGGUAUGUGGAGUCCAUAUUGGUGCCUAUUCUGCUCUUGCAAAAGUCGUUCAUUAACUGAUUUCUCUUUAGGGGCAGUGGAUCCCGUCAACCAUAUGCGAGAUUGCCAGCUCAAGGUCGGAUUGGUCAAUAUCGUGACAGAAUAAUUUUCAACGGACAUAGUUCACAAACUACAGCAUCAUGGCCAGAAGUUCAACUUCUUGCUCACUCACCUUCCGAAUCUUCAUGUCAAGGUGGUCGCAAGCACGUCAAAGGUUGACCCAUCCCCCUAACAAAGUCUCAGCUUGCCAAGGAAGUUUUUAAUAAGUUAUUUUGGACUUCAACAAGAGGAUUUUGAAUGAUAAAAGAUCAAAAUCUUGAAAUGGAUUGCGAAAUCCCAGUGAACUCCUUGUAAUCUUGGCUUGUAAAGCAAACUGACACCAAUUUUGCCGUUGCCGUGCGUGGUUAAAAUGUGGUGCUUUGCUGGGAAGUCUUAUUUCUAAUAUCUAAUUUAAGGUGGGUCCUCUUUUGCAAAGCACAAUUUAACUCUACAUCAUUGCUAGUUUAAUGGAAAAAAUCCGUGCGAGGACCUCGCCACCAGAGGCUAAUAUUGGCAUUUGCAGGCGAAGCCCUCGCCAUCAGGAGCCCCAGAGGCUGAUUUUGACGUUUGCGGGCGAAGCCCUCCCCACCAGGGGUUGAUAUUGGCGUUUGCAGGCGAAGCCCUCGCCACCAAAGGCCCCAGAGGCUGAUUUUGACGUUUGCGGGUGAAGCCCUUGCCACCAGAGGCUGAUUUUGGCGUUUCCAGCAAAGCCCUUGCCACCACAGGCUGAUUUUGCAAAGCAUAAAAUGAUGUCCAAGGAUGAACAUUGACCCUGGAUUAUAGGAAGAUUAGAUGAGCUGGUUUCAAUGCUGAACCAGGAGUCGUCCACAGAUGCAGCCUUAGUAAAUAAAUAACUUUAUUGCGACUCUUGGUCAUGUCGGAUUGUAAAAUGUAUAAAUCUGUAUGUAUAAAUAUCAUAUACAAAAAUCGAUUGAUAAAAGAAUAAAAUGGUCAAGACUGAUAAAAGAGUUAACUAGAGUGUGGUAUAACAGUGAGUUUGACUAGGAUUGGUUGAGUGCAAAUGGUAAAUGAUGAAAAUCUUGGUUAUUGCAGUAGAGUGGGUUAGUCAGAUCAUGAACCACUGGAAUAUGGACGGGGAUGGGAAGGUUGAAAAUUAGCAACUCCAAUUCAAGUCAAUGAAUUAAAUUCUUCGUCAAAUAAGGCUGGC